rnacentral:lncRNA from 1 species
AUGAGAAGAGCUUCUCCUUUACUUUGUCUCACAGGGCUUCUCUGGGCAACCAGCGUUAGUCUGGUAUGUGGGGAAGACACCAAUGAGACGACCCCAGACAGACUGGGCCGCUUCUUCUCUGCGCCGCAUUUCUGCGCUGCACCAAUCCAUCCCCGGAAUAAAACCCCUUUGCAGAGGCCGAAUGACACCCUGCGAGCAGUUGUUUUCAGCCAAAAACAUCUGUUGGGCAGCAGAACAAACAAAAGUGCAGGAGCAGCCGCCUCUCCCAUACUGCGGAGUGACCUGGCGUGUCACGAGAGCGGUUGGCUCGGCAGGUCAUCCGGGAACCUUUGGGAACGUGAGAAAACUUCUGAGAUGGAAGGAAAAACAACAUGA